rnacentral:tRNA from 2 species
GGGCCCGUAGCUCAGCCUGGACAGAGCGGCGGUGGACCCGGCCUUGGUCCGCCGAGCCUCCGGAGCCGUAGGUCGUGGGUUCGAAUCCCACCGGGCCCGCCA